rnacentral:tRNA from 1 species
GAAGGAAUGGCCGAGAGGUUAAAGGCGGUAGAUUGUAAAUCUAUUAGUUUGUCUAUCGUAGGUUCGAAUCCUACUUCCUUC